rnacentral:misc_RNA from 1 species
CACAUAUUUCCAAUAUGAUAAAUAUCACUAGACCAACUGUUUCUAAAGUAAGAAUUGCGAGCCACGUUUAAGAAAAAAAUACAAUAUUUGACGUACGUCGUAUUUAAUCUCGCAAGUUACAUUUACCCACGAAAUAAAAUGCCAACCCGCUCGAGUCCUAUAUUUUUCAUUCUACCUUCCUUCCUCUGUUAGUUUUAUUAU